UGAGGACUAGUAUGAAUGGCCCCACGAGGGCUGCACUGUCUCCUUUUUCCAAUCAAUGAAACUAAUCUCCCCGUGAAGAAGCGGGGAUAACCCUAUAAGACGAGAAGACCCUAUGGAGCUUUAAACAACUGAAACAUUUGCUUCUCCCCUGACCUCUCCUGAGUUUUUACUUUACUUAAGCAUUUUUAUUUCUAGUUUUAGGUUGGGGUGACCGCGGAGCAAAACUAAACCUCCAUGAAGAAUGAAUAUUUUUUAAGCCACAAACUACUUUUUUAAGCAUCAACAAAUUGACCUUCAUUGACCCAAUAUAUUGAUCAACGAACCAAGUUACCCUAGGGAUAACAGCGCAAUCUACUUCAAGAGCUCAUAUCGACAAGUAGGUUUACGACCUCGAUGUUGGAUCAGGGUAUCCUAGUGGUG
rnacentral:rRNA from 1 species